rnacentral:tRNA from 1 species
GGAGAUGUAACUCAGGGAUAGAGCACUUGCCUGCCAUGCAUGAAGCCUUGGGUUCAAUCCCCAGUAUCGCAA